rnacentral:rRNA from 1 species
GUAGAUUUUUGUCAAUUGUUAGUAUUCAUAUUAAUUUUUUUUUAAGUUUUUUAUUUUUAUAAGUGUUUAUUUAUUAAUAAGGUAUAUAUAUUAAUAUUUAGGAAUAGUUAAUAAUAAUUUAUAAUUUUGAUUAGAUUGAUUUGUUAAUGCUAAUAAAUUGGUGUGGAAAUAUAUUAAAAUAAGUUACAUUUGUGUAUAAUAAAUUAUAUGUAUUAAUAUGUCAGAAAUGGAUGCCAGCCGUUGCGGUAAUUUCUAUGCUUUUAAAUAUUAUACAAGUAUUAUAUAAAAUUGUUAUUGUAAAAUUUAAUCAAUAAAAUAUAUUUUAUAGUUUAUUUGUUUUUAAACACCAUUUGGUAUAUGCAAAUAUAAAAUGAUAGUAAUUAUUAAUUAUAUUAUAUUAUAUUUAUUCAAAUAUUUAAGAUAUUAGAAUUGUUUGAUUUUGACUCCAUGAUAAGGAUUAAAUAAUUGAAAUUGUAUAUAUCAUAAUCAAAAUUUAAUAUUUAUAUAAAGUUAUUAUUAUUAGAUAAAAUAAAAAAUUAAAAAGGUAUUGUUGCCCACCAAUUUUUAUAAUAAAAAUAACGUGCAGUAAUUAAUAUAUUUAUAAAAAUAUAUUUUAAAUGUAA